rnacentral:lncRNA from 1 species
CACAUAGUAACUCUCUAUGCUCCCAGAGGGUACGAGCUACCAUGAUUCGGUUGGUCCCUCGUGGGGACAACGACUUAACUGCGGAGCUUGAUGACGAGGUCGAUACCCGUCCUUAUGAGCACUUUUUCUACAUCAGGACUGAGCACCUGGUGGCUUGUGCUACUAGACUUCCCAGGAAUGGAACCAUGCACGUAAGUCUCUUUUUCGUUGGUCUCCAUUUCUUUUGGUUACAUACCAUGUUUCAUAUUCGUACGUGCUAAUCUUUCUCUUCUGUCGUAGCUGGAGGUGCACCACCGGAACAGCUUUCCGGCGUCCGCGAGUGGGUCGAGGCCGUGCUUCCUGUUACAGCGGGAAUUCGCACGUGGGCGUCUUUCUGGGAGGCCCAUGGCCGUAGGCCGGUUGCUGGUAAGAAUUUGACUUGUUGUGUUGUUCUUCCUUGUUUCCUUUUCUUGACCCCUUCUUCCUUUGCUGGUUAGGACAACCACGUCGCAAGAGGGCUCCUCAACUUGCUUUCCGUAGGCCGGGGGUGACUGCCCCAUUAGUUGCAAUGCCGGCGCCUCGCCCAGUUCUGAGGGCGACUUCAGUCAAAUCUCAGCGGCUUACUCUCCAGCACGGUCCAUGCACCGAGUUGAAGAAUCUUCUGGGGGCCGUGCGUUCUAGGUGGAGUUGCCGCCGAAUGAAGACGAGGAAGAAGAGGGGAGGCCGCUGGUUCGGCGUAGGGUGGCGUUCACCCCGGUUCUUUCGGUGGUGAUUAGCUUGGAUUCUCCCCCGUCAGAAACGGAAGGGCAUGCGGCGGAUCCUGCCCCAAAGGGCGAGCGUUCAGUGGGGGUUGCCCCAGUUGGCUUAGGCCAAGGUGACACAAUCGCCUCGGCGAUUUAAAUUCCGGUUCUUGUUGCUGAGAGGGAAGGUAGUUCCUCAGCAACUGUUUUGGAGGAGGAGACGGGCGUCGAGGUUUUGGCGAGUGCGGGCGCUUCGACUUCCCGAGCGGCGGAGGCCUUGACUUCUAAGGCAGUGGAAGGAAGGGGUGCCUCAGGAGAGGGGGAUGAUUCUGAGUCCGACAUGGACCCUGAGGACGUCUGUCUGUUUUAGGAGGGUUACACCUGCCCAGCGAUGCAGGCCGAUGGGGACAGGUAUGUAGAGAUUCCUAAUGAGCAAAACCUGCUGCUCGAGGAGGAGGAUUUGGUGACGCUGUUCAAGGUUAUGUGCUCGGAGGCAGAGAGCGCGUCCUUGAGGGGCAUCUUAGACGUUGGGUUGAUGGGCGAGGUGGCCGCUCUGAGUAUAAACGUACGUGUGAAGUCUUAGUCUAUUUCUUUCUUUAGUGUAUCUUAUACUAACGGUUGUCCUGUUUGCCACAAUCAUUCUUGUUGGAGAUGGAGAGCAUUCGCCGGGCCAACGUCCGCUCGGCUGUCUUUGUGCGGUUGUUGAAGAAGUACUGCCGCUAUUGGAACCGGUGCCGUGGUUUGUGUGAACGCUUAAGGAGCGACCCGCGGAACCAAGAGCUAGUAGAAGAGCUGGCGCGGAGGGAACUUCAUAUGCAACAGACCCUUAUCAGGGUAAAUGCUCUUGAAGGGCAGCUCCGUCAAAAGAACAAGGAGAUGGAUGCUGAAAGAAGGGCGGCUACUGAGAGAGAGCGCCAAAAUCAGACUGCGGCAGCGGAGGCCGCUGAGGUUUUGACUAGGCAGGUGGCUGCCCUAGAGAUGAAGACCGGUGCUUUAAGGAAGCAGGCAGAGGACGCUCUAGCGAGGGUCGAAACGUUGCAGGCGACCAACCACGCUCAAGAAAGAGAACACGGUUUGGAGAGGGCCGCCGCUACUUUCCGGGAGAGGAAGUUGGAGGGGCGCAUUGCAGUUUGUCAGCAGGACGCCUGUACUGCGGCGGACCGGAUUGCAGCCUUGGAGGCUGAGAACCAGCGCCUGAGGAAUCAAACCACUUCUUUCGGUCCUGCGCGUGAGCUUUGGACGUACGCCAAAGCUCAGCUCGACGUGUAUAGGAGGUUGUGGGAAGUCGGCGUUGUGCCUGAGGCCACCUAUGAGGAGGCACGCCAAAAGGCUCGUGAUGCCCGCCUCGACUGCGGUUUGGACCGUCUAUGCCCGGGGGUGAUGAUGGCCAGGGCGUUGACAAUGUUGAAGAGGGCGCUGGUGGCGCCGAGUGAACAAAGAUUUGUAAUAUUUGUUUUAGUUUUCAUUCUCUUUUUUUCUUUUAUUUUUUCUGUUGCCAUUUGGCUAUCUCCCCCUAUUUUUUAGCCGUCCUUGGGCCAAUGUAAUUGGGGGGUAACCCCUUGUAAAUAUUGCAAAUAUAUGUGGCUUUCUUCCUUUUUGUUUAUUUUGUAUCAAUUUCGUGCGUUUCUUUUUUUGUGUUCGUUUGAGAGGGCCUUGCCUUAGAGUUUUUCUAGUGAGCAUGCUAAUGGUGUCGACUGGUUAGGUGAUUUUGACCAUUGUCGGACUUAUUCCUUGCCUUAAGGAAAAAUUGGUGUAGAUGGCUUUGGCCAUGGAUAGACGCUUUUGGUUAUCACCUUCCUCCACUUGGUGGGAGUGGGUUGUAGCCGUAUUUGGGCAGUGGCGGCACAUAGCCUUAGUCCCAGUUCGGGCUCAGUCGGACUACUGGCCGUGGUAAUGAAAAGCACAGCCUUGUAGUUCGACUUGGGCCGAACUCUACGUAGGCCGAAACUUUAGUUUUGAGUCAUUCGUACUUACUUGAAUGGCGGGGACGCUUGGCCCGACCUAGGGUUUGUCCGUAGUUGGAGCAAAGCCUUGUAGUUCGACUUGGGACGAACUUUACGUGGGCCGAAGUUUUAGUUUUAAGUUAGUCAUACUUACUCGGAUGGCGGGGGCGCUUGGCCCGACCUGGGGUUCCAUCGUGGUUGAACAUUUGAGGGCGCUCGGCCUCGCCUGAUCACGGCCCGGCUCGUAGCCGCGGGGACGUAUAUUCUUGGCUUUGAUUCGUCUGUGGUUGAGUUUGUGACUCUUGUGACGGAGGUGUGUAGCCUGAGUCUUAGUUCUACUCGUAGUUGAACUUUUUGUAAUUUUUUUAUGUAGAAGGCACAUAGCCUGAGUUCUAGUUCAACCGUAGUUGAAUUUUUUGUAAUUUUUUGAUGUCGAAGGACAUAGCCUGAGUUGUCAUUUAACCGUAGUUGAAUCUUUAUAAUUCUUAAUAGGCGAAGGCACUUGGCCAGAGUCCCAGUUCAACCGUAGUUGAACUUUUGGGCGAGGGCGCGUAGCCUGAGUUGUCGUUCAACCGUAGUUGAACUUUUGUAACUUUUGUGAUGUCGAAGGCACAUAGCCUGAGUUGCCGUUCAACCGUAGUUGAACUUUUGUAAUUUUUCUGAUGUCGAAGGCACAUAGCCUGAGUCCUAGUUCGACCGUAGUUGAACUUUUUGUUUUGCCACAUAACUCGCUUCGCGUUGGGCAUUGGGAUUUGCUUCUAGUUUUGAAUCUUGCCUAACUCGUGCUUGUAGUCUUCUCGACUGGUUCGCACAGGUUACCCCGUUACAGAUCUCGGUUCGAGAUGCUUUUGUGCUUUCCUCACUUUUGGCAGGAUCUCGUGUGA